CUUCUGAGUGUUAUGUCAUUUCGAGAUCGUAUUUCAUUCACUUUCAUUCUGAACAUUCACAGUAUUUGUGUACUCCUACAUCACAAAUUGAAUUAAUCUAUUGGAAAAUUUUAUGUGCCUCGAACACUCACAAUAUUUGGAAUAAAAAGAAAAUUUGUCGUAAUGAAGACUUUUUCUGACUGUCUGACUGCAAAUUUUUAUCAGAAUAAUAAUGUGAUGGUUUAAAAGCCACUAAUCAAAUGAUACUGAUUGGCAUUUCAUUCCAGGGACGGAAUUAGAUGAUGGCCAACAAAUCUACCGAGCUCAUUUAUUUGUUCAAUGAAUUGAAUGAAUAGUGAUUGGAAUCAAAUAAAUAAGAAGAAUGAGAACUUCGUUCAGUCCUCUAAUAUCCUGAUUAAUUAUUUGUCGUGAAAUCUUACUUGUUUGCAUUGGUGCCACAGGCGGAGCAACUGACUGUUGUUGUUGUUGCUGCUGCUGUGAAACAGACGGCGGCGUUGGCAUCGUUUCGUCAUUUGGUGUAACCUGUGGUUGUUGUUGCUGUUCUUGUUGCUCAUCAAGCGCUGUUGACAGUGGUGUCACUUCCAUUUCAUUUUCCUUGUCCAUUUCAUGCAUGGUGGUAUCUUCUGUAUGUUCCUGACUGUCCUCAAGGACACCGCCAACAGCGGAUGAGGCUGCCGCCGCUUCUAGAAUGCUGAUAUCGUCGAUUUUCUUUCCACGGCCACGACCGCGGCCGCGCCCUCGUCCACGCGCCCGUGUACCACGACCACGACCUCGACCACGUUUCACUUCUUCAGUGUCCAUUCUAUCCUUGCCGGGGUUUUCUUUUUGUUGUAAUCCUAGUUUUCGUGAGUUUGGAAAAAAGCAAA